AUGACCCCACGGGUGCCCCGGCUCUCCGUGCUCGCUGCACUGGCCCUGGGCUCAGCCACGCUGGGCACUGCCUUUGCCACUAGCCUCUUCCUAGGGAGGCCAUGGCCUUAAUGGCGAGGCCUGCGAGAGCUGCGCCUGCUUCCCGGCGAGAACGGCCGCCUGUGGCAGUAUCUCCCAUACAGGAGCACCCGGCGCUGACCGUGGAGCAGUCGCAGGGGGAUUCUAUGAUGACCUGCGAGCAGGCCCAGCUCCUAGCCAACCAGGCGCGGCUCAUACAGGCUAAGAAGGCGCUGGAUCUGGGCACCUUCACGGGCUACUCCGCCCCGCGCUGCCCGCGGAUGGGCGCAUGGUGACCUGCGAGGUGGACACGCAGCCCGUGGAGCUGGGGCGGCCCCUGUGGAGGUAGGCUGAGGCGGAGCUCAAGAUCGACCUCCGGCUGAAGUCCGCCCUGGAGACCCUGGACGAGCUGCGGGCAGCGGACAAAGCUGGCACUUUCGACGUGGCGGUGGCAGACGCGGACAAGGAGAACUGCGCCGCCCACUACGAGCGCUGCCUGCAGCUGCUGGAGCUAGGAGACAUCCUUGCCAUCCUCGGAGUCCUGUGGAACGGAAAGGUGCCACACCUCCGCAGGGGGACUUGGCGGCCAAAUGUGUGCGGAACCUAAAGGAACGCAUCCGGCGGGACGUCAGGGUCUACAUCAGUCUCCUGCCCCUGGGCGAUGGACUCACCUUGGCUUUCAAGAUCUAGGGUUGGCCCCUAGUGAGUGGGCUCGAGGAAGGGUUGCCUGGGAACCCCAAGAAUUGACUCUUGAGUUUUAAAUUCGACAAUGAAGUGGGGCUGGGAC